GUCAGUAUCCGUCGAGCCUUCAAGCUGUGAACAUUAUUAAAAUUUUUAAUAUGAAAAUAAAAUAAUAAAGUGAAAAGUUUAAAAAUAUAUGUUUUAAAUAAAAUAAAAAAGUUUUUAAAUGUGUUUGGUGUUUUUUUUUUUGUUUUUUCCAAACAGGUAAGACGACAAAAUUAGGUAAGUGAUUGCGUUUAAAACUAAAAUAAAAAUCUAAAAAUAAUUUCAAAUGGAAAUAAAUGUAAGUAAUCUACUUAUUUAAUUGUACUUUUAAUCAAAUUUUCUUUAAUUUUUAAAGCACUUGGCACAUAAUUAAGUUGCCAAAGCAAGCCAUUAGCCAGCCUUCCUCUUGUACUCCAAUUACUUCCCUAUAAUCUCUGCCUUUCUCGUUGAUCCUUUCUAAUGAGAUCGGCCCGGCGAUGGAUGAGCUACCAAAUGUACGGACCGUUCUGUGGCAACAAGUGCAGCAAACACCCCCAAAAGCGGCACCAGCGCCGUCCGCCGUCAACGUCAUCGUUUGACUUUAGCUUUGGCCAUAAGGUUCAGGCCAGAAAGUACUCAGUUAUGCAAAACGCAUUUGUGCAACGAUCAGUGGGACUUGCAGGAGGAGCACAGGGGAGGAUGGGAGGGGAUCGUCGUCGACCAUUGAACAUCGAACGAUCGUUCGGAAUACGCCUUGGCAUUCAGAACGCGGUGCAUUUCCUGCCCGUCGACGGGUCAAAAAACUCGCCCACACUUCAUAGACGGGUGAAUGGAGCCGAGCGAGCCGCAAAUGGCUAACUGUUACUGGGGCUUAAUUAAUUGAAUGCCCUUUGGCCGAUUUAAAAUGCACCACAACGACCCAUGAUCGGCCAUAAAGACGUCUGGCUGGCGCCGGUUGCCAGAAUUUAGGGGUUUACCCUUCGAUUUCCCAAGGCACCGAGGCGGUAGGACUCUCCUCCCAGAAUAGUAAUAGUAUAUAGUGCCCAACCACAACUACUACUCCAUUCAUACUCCGAUCUGUUCCAUUUCCAAUUAGCUGCACGUUCGCUAUGCUAAUGACUCUUGUGAUUCUUGGCCGCGUCUUCGAUUGAGGCAACGAUUUUUCCACCUUAUCAUGUCCUUCCGCCAGCUUUUCUGCUUUCGACUUGGCUUUUUCAGCGGCACUUUGAGGUGGCUUUUUUGACAAACUCACAUGUCAUUUGAUUUUAUGUUCACACGGGACAAUUUAUAUGCUAAUUUGCAGUGCGCAUCAAAGGCGAGCCGUUGACGGUUGCCUCUGAUGAAGGUGUUAGAGAAGUAAUUACGCUGCAUUUAAAUGCUCAAUUAGUGCGGCAACAGAGCUGCAACACAGUGCCUCCAAUGUCUACAGUAUGGCCUCCCCUUGGAGCUCCCUGUUCUCGGCUCCCCAACUCCCCAGGUGAUUGGUGGAACCGCGCGCAUGUCACAAACGAUCUUUCCAUUCAUGUGGUUCGGCAUCUCCAGUCUCGUUAUCCACCCACAAUUGUGGUUCAGUGGUUUCCAUGCAUCAUGUGGCUAACGAGGAGUGAAAUGGGUUCUCGAAAUUCUAGAGAAGCUGUGGAACAAAUCUAGAUGGGAGACUGAGUCUUAAACCAUCAAGGAGUUACAGGUUAAAAGUGUUAUAACAUUAGGUAGUUCUGAGGCCUUAUAUUCCUCGAAACAAUAAAAUAUUCAUAUUUAAAUUACUAUAAAGCCUUUUCACAACCAUGUUACAUAUGAAAAUACUAAUUUUUCCACCAACUUUUUCACCAGGACCUGUCAAGGGAAAGUUUUCUUCUGAAGCCUAACCCACUUUCUCAGGUUUCACUUGAGCUCCCUUAUCUAACCAAAUCCAUUUAGCUAUGUGGUCCAUUUGGCUUUCAGUGCCUUUUCUGGCCAGACACUCGCACGCAAGAUAUAUCUGAAAAGAAAUAUACAAAAAAAAAAAAACGAAAAAAAAAAACAGGGCCAACUCUAAGUGAUCUCAUGUCUUUCGUUGCAAAAUGCUUUUGUCACCGUCCACUUUCCCAAGCCCAAGCCCACCAACUGGUCGCCUCCUUCGAUUCGAUCGCAAAGUAAACUCCUAAAUUAUAAUAAACGUGUAAUCGUAAUGUGUGCUUAUGAACAUAAUCUUUGGGUGAUUUCGCAUGAAUUAGCGAUGCUAAAUGUCAAAUCGAAACGAUAUCAGUGCAGUUCAAAAGCAUCGCGACUCGCCGAUCCCCUAACCGGUAUACCAAAGUCAUAAAAACGCAAAAAAAAAUCGGAAAAAAUGGAAAGAAACCAAUCUGAGCCGGCGAUUGAUUCAAAUGUGCAUGCGAACGCAUUUCGCAAAUGCCAAACACACAUAAAAUCCAGAGUUGACUCACGGGAAAUGGUGCACAGAUCAUGGGAGCAACUGGACACCAAUGGUUUUGAAUUGGAAAUGCACUGAAAAAUUAUGAAUUUUAAAUUAAGUCUUUUUUUCAGAACUUAUAUAUUGUCAAGAGAAAAAGCUUAACUUAUUAAUCUUAGCCAAAAUAUAAAAGGUAUGCUUCUUACAAUGUUUUUCCACAUGUAAGGUCAGGGUUUGACAAAUAAUUAAUACUAUAUUUUAACUAAUAAUAACCCUCUUUAUUAACAUUUAGUUUUCCUCAGUGCUGGACCACCUGGGAAUGGGAACACGAGAAAGACUUUUGCACUUGUUCUGGCAGCCGAGCGGGUAAAUAAAAACCAAAUUUGCAUAGCAUUUUGUACACGGGACUGGGACUGAGGCUUGGGACUAAGAGGAGGUGGACUCUGGGCCUGAUAAACUGGGGCUGCUCCAGGCAGGUGGCCUCACCUGAAGCUGUCCACUAAGGAGGAACAUUUUGAUGAUCGCGUUGGACUUUUACGACACACUUUGUGGGUAUUUAUGCGGUGCAUCUAUCUAUAACCGACUUGGGUGGUAAAUCGAGCAUUUCGGCCAGCCACUCAUUAGCUCUGCCGGCCAUAAAUGUUUUGAUUUGUGGCUAAUUCCAAAUUCAGUUUGCAACGGGUACAAAACAGCACCAACAACUAGAGUGACGGUUUAAUGAGCCAAAAACAACAUAGAACAAGAAAAUAGUACAAGAAAAGUAAGGGAGUCGAACCCAGUUGAACUUUGACUCGGCGACUCUCAAGUGUUUAAUGUGCUUUUGGACAGAAGACAGUGAGGGGGAGCUGCGAAUGCAAAGUGGAAUGCAAAUCUUGUGAAAGCGAUCGCGGCAAAUUGAAAAUCAUAUUUGUCUUGCCCAGCUCUCGCCUCUCUCCAGCAGCAUUACAAUCAAAAUGUGGAACAAGUUCAAUCGAAAGGCCCUUAGGGGCCCAUGCCCAAAACGAUCAGCGAAAGAAGCAAGCUACACUUUAGAAAAAAACAUAUAUUGUAAUAAUUCAAAGCCAGGCCAAGGCGAGUCUACUCACAGGCUAUCAUCAAGCAGCCGGCCAGCAUCGAUGUGGCCCAAAAGCCUGGCCAAAACCAAAGCAAAACUCAAACCAAAAGCCCAAGACUCAAAGGCAAAGGCAAAGGCAAACCGCACCCGCACCACCAGAUCGGCAGCAGCAGCAGCACCACCACCACCACAAAGAGCACCACUCGUGAUCAUUGUUUGAUGUCUGGUGGAUUGUGGUGCCAUUUGGGCCGUGUGGGUGUGGGUGUCUGUGGGAGUUGAAUGAUCUUCGCCCAAACGCUUUCCCAGGCCCCGGACGCGGACUGAAGGCUGGACCCAAUAUGAAAUCCGCGAACCCCAAAUCCGAAUCCGAAUCGCAAUCCAACUUUCGGGGCAGUUUUUGGAGCGAAAAGAUAGGCAAUUAAUGAUCUGGAAAGUGGUUUAUCUGGAGGCUGUCAAAAGCAAUAUACACGUGGUCUAUCCUCUCCUGCCACGAGAUCAUCUUCGUGUGUGGAGGCAUUCUGCAAAGGUUUGUCAGCUCGUUGGCCUCGGUUUUGGUCACCAGGGCUUAAUAACCGCAACAGCCCCGCGAUAUAUCCUCGCCAGCCUAUCCUCCUCCUUCCUAUUCCAACUCUAGACUCGAAAUCCCAUAACGAUAGCCACGAUUCGAUAAGUUUUUCUCACACACGAACCAAGGCAGCAAACAAAGGGAAAAGUGGAAAGUCGGAGGCGAUUGCAAAGAUCGCUGCGAUCAAAUAUGUUAUGGAAAAUUGGGCACAUACCGCAGAUCGACGAGAUGCGACCGGGCAGCGGCUAUUGGCUCACUUUGAUUUGUUUAUUUCGAUGCCACACGAACUACAGUGGAGUGUCCUUAAAUGGGACUAACAGUAGUAUUAAUUAGAAGAACCAUUAUCCUCUCAACUAUAUUCCGACUGUAUCGUUUGCAAUCCCAUUCCAAUGGCACACAGCUCCCUGGGCAGCAGUUUUCCGCUUGCUCCGGCUGCUUUUCUUGGCCACAGCUUGACCUUUCACUGGUGGCUCCGAUUUGCCGGAAGCGCUCACCCAAAAUAUAUCACCAAGCGAAUAUCUACAAAAUGAUGAUUGGAGCAGCUACAGAUCCAACCUCCAACAAUGAGAGGGCACAGCUCGGAGCUUGUGGACUGGACUUGGCCAACUUGGAAAAUUGUAAACAAUAUCUGUAAAAAUAAAAACGCCCAACGCCGCCGAAUGCACUGAAUGCCCAAAAAAAAAUAGUAUCUUUUAUAAAAAUGCCCAUUGUUGUCUUGCAAAUGUAAUGCAAUGAGAGUCAGUCCGGAGUCAGUCAGUCAGGCACCCCGAGGGCAUUACUUCAACUCCUCCGAUUUCGGGAAGCAUUUCGGGGCUGAAACCUUAGGAAGCCAGAGUUACUCUUUUCGGGGUUGGGCCCCUAUCGAACUUGAGAGCUGCCCACGGAGGGUCAAUCGCGUUGAACUAGUUAAAUCAUUUGAAUAAUCACUGCCGCAUCGCAAUAGAAUUGAAUUUGGGUUGAAUUUGCAUUGUUUAACAUCUUUUUGGCUUUGGUAGCCCAACAGAAGGUGACCUCUAUAAUGGCUUUAAAUAAAAAACUAUAUAUUGUUGGGGUAUUCGCAAUCCAAACUAACUCUAAACUCCAAAUAGAGCAAUCAACCUGGCUAUUUGUCAACUAUCCUGACUUCGGAGAACCCACUUCUCACACUUUGCGUUACGAUCAAAGUUAAAUUCCAACGGAUGAUAGACCAGUUAUGGCCUAACCAUAAAAUGCCAUAAAUUACUCUAUUCCGAUCCCAAAUCGGGGGCUAUCGUCGACGAGCAAUCUCCGCCAGUCCGAUCUGAAUGCAUCAACGUGCAGUCCUUACAAAUUAUGUUUAAUUAAAAUUUCUGUAUUAAAUAUGACACAAUGCUCCGAAUUCCAAUGUCCCAGGGAUGAGAGACGAAUGCGAAUGCUGACUGUAAUUAUUAUAUAGCACCCAAGAUCCCGAUCCAUUCAACAGGCUUGAGGACGGGGGAUUGGGAACUGGGGACUGGCGACUGCCGAUGCGUCUGGGGGCUGCAUUUAUGAUUUUGUUUUAUUUAUAAAAUGCCCAGCGAUCAGUGGCCGCGUCCAAUGAUGAUAUUUACAAUUUUCCCUGCCUCUUUAUAUCAUUUUUUCAUCGCCAUGAUUAUUUUUUGCCCGCUUACAUUUGUCGCAUAGUUCGGAUCUUGGCCAAAACCCAAGCGUCUGCCUUUGUCUGGCUUCGGAGCUGGCAGACUGGAAGGUUUCGCGCCCUGGGCAACAGCAUCGGAUGUCCAUAUCUGGUGUUAUGACAAAUGCUGUAUGUAAUUAUGGUGCCUUCAUGGCACUGAUCUGCCCUCCUCUUUUCGGACUUUGGCUGCAAAAAGAUAUCAAAAAUGUCGCAUAUUAAUAAUGCUCUCCAUGGCGGGACACAGGACACGAAAUACGUUUUGUGCCUUAAUUAACCCUUUUUAAAUUGGGCAUAAUUAGGGUGAUGUAUGAAACACUGAGAGAAGUUGUAUACCUUGUUUUUAUUUACUAUUAAAGGCUAAAGAAAUUUGAGAACAAAUAACUUAAAAUUUUAAAACAUAAAUCAAUAACGUCUAAGCGAAGUAUCAGUUGUCUUCUGACAUCUAAAGAUUAAAUAUUCUAUUUUUUUCCUAAAAACCUUAUUAUUUUUCCCAAAGUGCCUGCGACAUCCAUCAUCUCAUCAUUAUAUCAUUCACAUUCGUUAAUAUUUUUGAAAUAUUUUCGCGUAAUUUGUUGAUAUCAAUUUACACAGAGCUGCCCUUUUGGUCCUGGCCAUAAUUAUAUCAUUUCGAUUGAUCAAUGCGCCUCGCUCCUCUUCGUCGGGCAACCCGAUAUAGGUAGAGAUAUGUAUAUAUAUGAGGGAUAUAAUGGGAUGCCACAGAUACCAGACAGAGAUCCCAUUGCCCUCGUUAAAUUUGCAGUGUAAGAUCGCUUAGCUCAUUAGCUGGGCUCCAGUUAGAAGGCUUUGGCCACUGAAGGCACCCCGUACUGCCCAGCGGGUGUGCCUCUUGUAUAAUGUAUAAUUAAAGAUCGGCUGCCCCCCUUUCCAACCUUUUUUAGCCACCAGCAGACAGGUGCAGGCGCGUUUUGUUACUCGGCCAUUGUCCGUCACUUGACGAUGAUAAAUGUGUCGCAUGAGCCAGACAUAAAUGGUUUGAUUUGGUGGCAGCAUCCCCGGCACUACUCCCCUACCCAUCGGAAGUCGUCAGCAUCAUCGCCUCUGGAGCCUCGGGAUACCGAUACCGAGAGUAUUUAAAGCAACUUUCACACUACACUCAAUUGUCUGUUUUAGGGCCAAGGCGCCCUAAAAGGCCAAAACACGCGCAGACUCAGCGGCCAGAGAGCUAAAAAAAUGAGGAAAAAUUAUAAAAUCAAGUGGUCUUGUCAGGCUGCCUAAGAAUAUAGUGAUGGAGUAGAAUUAUACCCAGUACGGGUUAUAAAAAUUUAAGACUACAGAAAUAUAUUUUAUAUAUUUUUCAAUGACUAGAAACAUAUUAAAAUUUAUUAGAAGUAAAAAAAAGUAAAUCUUUAUAGAAUAGUUGAACCAUUUCAUCCAAUUUUGCAACUACUCCUUUAAUAAAAUAUAUAAUUAAAUGAUUAUAAGAAACCUAAUACCAAACAGUAUGCAAAACCCUACCCCUUACAGGGUAUAAUAACAAAAGCUUAGUAAUUUUUCCUUAUACCAUAGUAUUUAUUUGUAUGCUGCACAAAUUUGGACACAUGUUGCAUACCAAAAACUGUUGAACGUAAAAGGAUAUUUUUUGCCCCGAUUCUCCGAUCCCGAUGACGCUCCCAGCCCGGCCCAGCAAACGCCAAUAAUUUAUAAAGCGGACAAUAAAAUGUUAUCAAACAAAAAAAAUGUAUAUAUAUAUAUAUAUAUUUAUACAAACAAGCUGACUGAAAACAGGACCAAGAAUCUGAAUCUGAAGGGUCUGGGGAGGAAAAGAAAAAGGACAGAGUCGACAGGCUGAACUAAAUGCCGCACGCCUGCGCAUGUUGAACAAACCAAGUUCAGAAAAAUAUUCGAAAAAAAAAUAAAUAAAAAUAAAGAAGAUGGGAGAUGGGGAGGUGGUGGGAUCCUCCAUGGCUCUGAUGAUAUAUGAAAUCAUAUAACAGCAAUCGGCAGGCCCAACAACAGCAACCCCGGCAAGGAGCUUCGCAUAAAGUGUGUGUAGUUUAUUAAGCGCGCCAAGAAAAUGACACAACAACCACAGUGGCCUCGCCAGUUGUUGCUUUUCGCCACAUAAUUUAUGGGGGCUUCAGUCCAGUUGGCUUAGAGCAUUUGCCACAGUUUAUUUAUGAGGCAAACAAACCGACCAGAGAUCAACGCCUCAAUAGAAAUGGAAAUGAAGUUAACUCUAUCAGCUUUGAUGGGGAAACAAUCGGCAGUCGAAUAAUAGAGCCAAACGAGCCAACGAAGAUUUAUAUUGAUUGGAGUAGUAGAUGAACUAAAUUACUACUAAAUGGUAAAAAUAGAGCACAAUAAAGGGAACAAAUAUAUAUUAUAAGUUUUUUGUACAUCCAGUAAUUAAACUCUUUUCAAAGAAAGUCAAAUUCUACAAGCAUAUCGCUGAUAGAUCUCCCAAAACUUAUUGUGAAAAUUUUAAAUUCCUAGCCAUAACCAUUUUGUUUUUUACCCUCAAUAAAUCACUUAUCUAUUAAAAUAUCGUAAAUCAAAUCCAUAAAACUUAUAAAAUUCAGAAACCAUUGCCAAUCAUCGAAAAGCUUCUACCCCUUCCCUUUAGCAUUCCACAUACAACAAAAAAAUAAAUAAAAAAUCCACCUUCGUCACAUGAUAUCCGAAGCAAGUAAAAAAAAAAUACAAAAGAACCAAUAAAAAAUAAAAUAAGCCAGAGCCAAAGCAAAGCCACAUUUAAAUAAUUCACCAAAGGCAUUCAAUCUAUAUUUAAAGUGAAAAUUGAUCAUAAAAUUUGCAAGGCACGUUUCGGAAUUAAAUCAUUUUAGUUGAGCAUGAACGCGAGGGUUUCGUGCACUAAAAACAAAAACCGAAAAAACACAAACAAAUAAAUAAAUUAAAAAAAAACCUCAAUCAAAUCUACGGCAAUCUCGACUUUUAAAUGAUUUUUAUAACACUUCUACGGCGGUUUUUCAAUAAAACAAAAAAAAAUUCGAUGAAUUUUAUGGCGUGGCAAAAAUUUAAUGACAUCGAAUCGAACUCCCUCCCCAUUGUUUCGCUUUUCUAAUAUACAAAAAGGCUUUAAUGGAUUUUUUGUUCGCUUCGGAUCGGUUUGUGUUGUUCGUUUUAUUUAAACAUAUAAACGGGACCAUAAAAAAAUACUACAGACCAAGAGACUCCCUGAAAGCGUGUUAAAAGUAGACUAAUGGGUUUUAAUUUAAGCCAACGAACCUUGGCUGGUUAGCUGAGCUUUUCUUCCAGAAGGGGAGGCCAAAAACAAGACAAAAAAAUAUAUAAUAUAAAAGGGGGAAAAGUCAACCAAAUAAUUGAAUAAUUGUAUUGGAGUGAGUGUGUUUGAUAAACUUUCUCUGACGUCCAUUCAAAAUUAAAUCACUUUACGCACUUUAGGCUCCGCCUUA